GGAUGCGUAAAAAAAUCGAAGGCAGCAACUCAAAAAUAGAUGAAUGUUGGAAGGAAGAUGUAUAAGGCUGCGAGGAAAUGGCAUCUUAAGGUCCGUUACCCUUCAACUUAUAGACAUAUAUGCUCAGUUAUUGUUGUGUAACAUAGAGUUACCUUGGAUGUAAAUGCUCCUUCUCUUGUGUAUUUCAGUUCAACAAUUGGUGGUUCUUCAGGUCACUUUAGCGUGCAUUUUCAGUACAUCUUCCAGGCGAGGAGGACGACAGUGACGACUCCUUUAGAUUUUUUUCGGUGUUGCUAC
rnacentral:lncRNA from 1 species